rnacentral:rRNA from 1 species
AGCGAACGCUGGCGGCAGGCCUAACACAUGCAAGUCGAACGAACCCUUCGGGGUUAGUGGCGGACGGGUGAGUAACACGUGGGAACGUGCCUUUAGGUUCGGAAUAACUCAGGGAAACUUGUGCUAAUACCGAAUGUGCCCUUCGGGGGAAAGAUUUAUCGCCUUUAGAGCGGCCCGCGUCUGAUUGGCUAGUUGGUGAGGUAAUGGCUCACCAAGGCUACGAUCAGUAGCUGGUCUGAGAGGAUGACCAGCCACAUUGGGACUGAGACACGGCCCAAACUCCUACGGGAGGCAGCAGUGGGGAAUCUUGCGCAAUGGGCGAAAGCCUGACGCAGCCAUGCCGCGUGGAUGAUGAAGGUCUUAGGAUUGUAAAAUCCUUUCACCGGUGAAGAUAAUGACUGUAGCCGGAGAAGAAGCCCCGGUUAACUUCGUGCCAGCCGCCGCGGUAAAAC